AGGGAACAAUGAAAAACAU
rnacentral:miRNA from 1 species